AGAGUUUGAUCAUGGCUCAGAACGAACGCUGGCGGCGUGGAUAAGACAUGCAAGUCGAACGGGAUAUCCCGUGUAGCAAUACAUUGGAUGUUCAGUGGCGCAAGGGUGCGUAACACGUGGGUAAUUUGCCGCGAAGUUGGGGAUAAUUCCGGGAAACCGGAACUAAUACCGAAUGUGGAUACCGGGGGGCAUCUUUUGGUAUCUGAAGGUGGGGACCCGCAAGGGCCUGCCGCUUUGCGAUAAGCCCGCGGCCUAUCAGCUAGUUGGUGAGGUAACGGCUCACCAAGGCUAAGACGGGUAGCUGGUCUGAGAGGACGACCAGCCACACUGGAACUGAGACACGGUCCAGACACCUACGGGUGGCAGCAGUCGAGAAUUUUUCUCAAUGGGCGAAAGCCUGAAGGAGCGACGCCGCGUGGGGGAUGAAGGGUUUCGAUCCGUAAACCCCUGUCAUUUGCGAACAAUGGUUAUCAUUGAAUAGGUGAUAACUUGAUAGUAGCGGAAGAGGAAGGGACGGCUAACUCUGUGCCAGCAGCCGCGGUAAUACAGAGGUCCCGAGCGUUGUUCGGAUUCACUGGGCGUAAAAGGGUGCGUAGGUGGUGGAGUAAGUUUGAUGUGAAAUCUCCGGGCUUAACCCGGAAACUGCAUUGAAUACUAUUUUGCUGGAGGUUUGGAGGGGGGACUGGAAUUCUCGGUGUAGCAGUGAAAUGCGUAGAUAUCGAGAGGAACACCAGUGGCGAAGGCGAGUCCCUGGACAACACCUGACACUGAGGCACGAAAGCUAGGGGAGCAAACGGAUUAGAUACCCNNGUAGUCC
rnacentral:rRNA from 1 species